GCAGACUCACUCUGCACCCUACUGCAACCUCAAGUUCGGGUGCUAUUUCCUUCUGCCACAGAAACAUUCCAGGGGCUGGGACCACUUUGACUUGUCAAAGUGGACAGAGCUGCUUGGGGACACAGGG